rnacentral:sRNA from 1 species
ACUGGGUAUGGUGGUGCACACCUGUAAUCCUGGCAGCUUGGAAGGCUGAGGCAGGAGGAUCACAAGUUCAAGGCCAGCCUCAGCAACUUGUGGAGGCCCUAAGCAACUUAGCCAGACCCUGUCUCAA